rnacentral:rRNA from 1 species
AUACGGAGGAUGCAAGCGUUAUCCGGAUUUAUUGGGUUUAAAGGGUGCGUAGGCGGAUGAUUAAGCGUGAGGUGAAAUGCCACUGCUCAACAGUGGAACUGCCUCGCGAACUGGUUGUCUUGAAUGCUCCUGCCGUGGGAGGAAUGUGUGGUGUAGCGGUGAAAUGCUUAGAGAUUACACAGAACACCGAUUGCGAAGGCAUCUCACGAAGGGUUGAUUGACGCUGAGGCACGAAAGCGUGGGGAUCAAACAGGAUUAGAUACCCUGGUAGUCCACGCAGUAAACGAUGAUGGCUAACCGCUGGAUCCAUCGGUUCAGUGGCCAAGCGAAAGCGAUAAGCCAUCCACCUGGGGAGUACGACCGCAAGGUUGAAACUCAAAUGAAUGGACGGGG